AUUCCAAUUGAUGGGGUAAUACCGGAUAAUAUGCCCCCGGCUUGCAACGAUGCCUAAAUUACUUGGAGUAUGAAGGGUAUAACCGGGAAAUCAGGAGAGUACAUGUAC
rfam:Chania multitudinisentens RB-25, complete genome.